AACAUGAUAAAGGCUAGAUAUUUAUGCUAACACUUAACUGUUCCACAAAGCUUUGUUGUCUGUUUGAGCUACACAAAAUUCAAGGGUCAAAGAAGACUAGCCGGCGGAGAACAUAGUAAUCGCUGUCAGUGUGCUGCCGACACUCAAAUACACCUCCACCACCUGCCAGCUAUAUCAGAAAAAAUUACGUCAAAAUCCAGCUUGGGGGAGAGCACCCCCAGUUAUCUAGCUAAGUGUUUCUACUCGCGUUUAUACUUUACUCAAAUAAUAAAAAGAUGCAUAAUCAUGAAAACUCAAAUAAAAUUUUUUGUGCUUAUAUAUAUCUUUGCUUAGUUUGCUAAAUAAAUAAAUAAAGUAUAUAUAUCUCCAGAUUAACCUAAAAUUAUUCUACUCCUAAUCCGGAAGAGAAUAGCCAAAAACAUUCUCCUAUUUCUAUUUUUCCCUGUGAAAUAAAUGCUCGAGUUAUCGUUGUUACUACCACUUGCUACAUUAUUUCAGGAGAUGAGUGUUCUUAUUAAAAAAAGAAAGAAUACGAGGAAAUAAAAAGGGGCAAGUGCCCGGAACCUCGAAGAAAAAAAAAGUGAGACGAGAGGUAAAAAUGGACAAGUGUGUGACACUAGAAUUUGGGGUACAAGAUACCCGCCUGAGAGAAAAGAAAAAUAAAAUAUAGAGCAUCUCAUUCUCCUCAAUAAACUUCAAAGUGCAAGAAAGGUAUGUAUCCCCUAAAAAGAGCAAAAGUAGAACUAGACUUUCACCAUUGUUAUCAUCAUGAUCACCAUACACCAUUCACUCGCCACACAUGCACAUCUUGAUUUGACUUAUUUACUUGUUCUUCU
rnacentral:lncRNA from 1 species